rnacentral:rRNA from 2 species
UACGUAGGGUGCAAGCGUUAAUCGGAAUUACUGGGCGUAAAGCGUGCGCAGGCGGUUGGUUAAGACAGAUGUGAAAUCCCCGGGCUCAACCUGGGAACUGCAUUUGUGACUGGCCAGCUAGAGUAUGGCAGAGGGGGGUGGAAUUCCACGUGUAGCAGUGAAAUGCGUAGAGAUGUGGAGGAACACCGAUGGCGAAGGCAGCCCCCUGGGCCAAUACUGACGCUCAUGCACGAAAGCGUGGGGAGCAAACAGG